AGUGAACUGCUGCUAAAAAUUCCGUUGUUCCUUUUGCACAAUGACAAUACAUCUUCUGAUUCUGAACAUACCAGAAAACAUCACUAACUAUAUUUAGCUGUUAAUGAUUGUGCAAAGCUUUAAAGACCAGCAGGAACUAUGCUAAGUAGUUUAUUUCUAAAGGUUAUUAGUUGAUGGUGCAGCUUCUUAAUCAUGUUGUGUUCUGUUUGGGUUUUCACUCACAUUAUGUUUAGUAGCAUUUGUUUACAUUUUUCCUUUAAAUUUAACUUUCUGUUACAUUUUCCGCCCUGGAUAUAAAAAGAUAGAAGAACAUAUAUAUUUCAUAUUUUACAUAGCUCUGUAUGGAUGUCUGGUCUGUUCUGUAUUAGAAACUGUAUAAAAUGACCAAGAUUCUGUUAAUAUGAAAAGUCAUCUGAGUGUGUUUCCUUCAGCUCCUGUGUCCUCUGUCCUGCUGGUCUCUGAGUGUCUGUCCCAGGGAGAGAUGAGGGUGUCCUGCUCCUCUGAGGGAGGGGACAGUCUUCAGUACAGCUGGACUCUGGAUGGACGCAUACUGACAGACGCUGAGCUCCUCUCUGGAAAUACUGAGACUAACAGCAUCACUCUGAAACAAAAGGUCUCAGGACGACUGGUCUGCUCAGUCAGGAAUCAAGUCAGUAAUGUCUCAGAAGAAAAGACAAUAUCUACAUGUGAUCACUCCCUGCUCAUAUGUGAUGUGCGAGCAGCUUCUUCUGGAUGACAGACGAGUAUGGAGCCAGUUGUAAUUCUUCUUGUGAUGUUAGCUGGAGUAUCACAUGCUUUCUCUUCAGCUGCUGAGACAAAAUGUAAUGCCACACAGAACACAUCUCUGUGCUCUGUUACUCUCGGAGGAUCUAUGUACAUCCAAGUGAUGACCAAUGCCAGCGGCCAUAAGCUGCGGUGUAAGAAGCACCUUCCCACUGAAUCCAUAAAUGUAUUCUCUGUGAAGAGAAACAAGUUGACGAUACAGGAGUAUUUUAGAAACAGGACAGAGUUUUUCAUCAACAACGGGACCCUGAAGAUCACAAACGUGGAGAGGAAUGAUUCAGGUCAAUACAUCAUAGAUGUCUUUACUCAGGGUCAUGACCGAAAGAACGAGAUCCAGGGUACAA